AAGUCGUAACAAGGUAACCGUAGGUGAACCUGCGGUUGGAUCAUUAAUGAAAUUUAAAAAGUUUUUUUUAUAAAAUCUUUUUUAAACAUUUCUGUGCAUAUGUUAUUGAUAAUAAGAGUUUAAAAGAGGAGUUUUCCUACGGGAUCGUUUCUCUUUUGGUUCUUAUUUCAAUUUCAAAAAACUUUUUUUUUCUAAAAUUUUAAACAUAACUUUUUUUAAAAAAAAACAACUUUUGGCAACGGAUCUCUUGGCUCUC
rnacentral:misc_RNA from 1 species